rnacentral:rRNA from 1 species
UACGUAGGCAGCGAGCGUUGUUCGGAGUUACUGGGCGUAAAGAGUGCGUAGGCGGUUUUCUAAGUUUGGUGUGAAAUCUCCCGGCUCAACUGGGAGGGUGCGCCGAAGACUGGAAGGCUUGAGUAUGGGAGAGGUAAGCGGAAUUCCUGGUGUAGCGGUGAAAUGCGCAGAUAUCAGGAGGAACACCAAUAGCGAAGGCAGCUCGCUGGGACGGUACUGACGCUAAGGCGCGAAAGCGUGGGGAGCGAACAGG